UUAGCUUUGCCCCGACUUCCGAGCAGGACCUAUUCCGCCGAGCCUGUGGGGCCCCGCAUGACAACAGUGUGUCCAUUGUCCAGAACUCAUCUGAGAAACUGCCACAGGAAGUGCUGCUCUGCUCCAGUCUGGUCACUGAAAAGGGAGCUCCAGGACCUGCAGGAUGGGGGCAGGCUGUGUCAAAGUCACCAAGUACUUCCUCUUCCUCUUCAAUCUGCUGUUCUUUAUCCUGGGUGCUGUGAUCCUGGGCUUUGGGGUGUGGAUUCUUGCAGACAAGAGCAGCUUCAUUUCUGUCCUACAAACCUCAUCCAGCUCGCUGCAGGUGGGGGCAUACGUCUUCAUUGGUGUGGGCGCCAUCACCAUGCUGAUGGGCUUCCUGG
rnacentral:lncRNA from 1 species